GGUAAAUGUUUCAUGAUAAUGGGUUAGGUAAAUGUUUCAUGAUAAGAAUUUCAUGUCUUUUGUAUUAAAGAAUUAAAUGGAUGAAAUAUGAAGUUUUAUUAAAAGAAAAAGGGGUGAAAAGAACAAAGUUUUGUCCAUCUUUGUUCAUCAUAGCUGAAAGUUAGAAGAGAGAAAGGAGAGGAGAAAGCUCUUGAGUAUUCGGUCAUUAGGAGGAGGAAAAUUGAAGGCGGUUCGUGUGUGGAUCUCGUCAGCAUAUCGUCGCAAACAGGUGUGUAACUGACACCCUCUUAUAGACUAGAUUGGCAAAAGCCGAAAUGCCGAAAAGUCAGUAUUUUGGGAAUUUGCGAGUGUGCGAAUGCUCGUAAGAUAGUUGGGUUUGUAUAUUUGGUAAUCUAAAGUAAUAAACUGCAGUACGCGCGAUUUCGUACAUUUUGAUCAUUUGGGCUUAAUGGGCCAAAGAUCGGGUUCAUGGGCCAACAGGCCCAAUUCAGUAAGUAUGUGCGGUAAGUGUUCUGAUAGUACGUAAAUAGUUAGGAUAUGCAUGAAAACCAUAAAAGAAGCUAAAUUACUAUAAUACCCCUAUGUAUGGAAAAUUACUGUUAUACCCCUAGGUGCAAAAUUACCGUUAUACCCCUAGGGUUAAUUUUGACUGAAAAGCAU